rnacentral:tRNA from 1 species
AAGGAUUUAAGUUAAAAAAACUAUCAACCUUCAAAGUUGCAAAUAAAGAAAGCUUUAAGCCUUA